rnacentral:lncRNA from 1 species
AAUGAGAAUUUUGGAGUGCUAAUAACAAUUUCCUAUUUUAUUCAAUAUAAUAUUGUAGACACUAACAUUACAAUUUAAUGAUAUUUUAUUUACUUAUAAAUGAGAGAUCUCAUAUUUGGAUUGCUUGAAUGGUGAAUAUGAUAUCUUAUUAUUAUGAUUGUCCUAUUAUGUAACUUAGCCCAAAUGAUGACAAUGUACAUCUUCUUAAUUUAGUAUAUGUUGUGUAACUUAGUCCAAAUGAUGAGCACUUUUGUCUUUCUACUUUAGCCU